rnacentral:rRNA from 1 species
AUUGAACGCUGGCGGCAGGCCUAACACAUGCAAGUCGAGCGAGCGGCGGACGGGUGAGUAAUGUCUGGGAAACUGCCUGAUGGAGGGGGAUAACUACUGGAACCGGUAGCUAAUACCGCAUACCAUCAGAUGUGCCCAGAGGGGAUUAGCGAGUAGGGGGGGUAACGGCUCACCUAGGCGACGAUCCCUAGCGGGUAGUAGAGGAUGACCAGCCAACCUGGAAGUGAGCCACGGUCCAGCUCCCUCCGGGAGGCAGGAGGGGGGAUUAUGCACAGAUGGGCGGAAGCAUGAUGCAGCCAUGCGGCGUGUAUGAAGAAGGCCUUCGGUUUGGAAAGUCGUUUCAGCGGGGAGGCGUUACCCGCAGAAGAAGCACCGGUUAACUCCGUGCAAGCAGCCGCGGUAAUU